UAAAGUUUUGGUCCUAAACUUGCCAUUGUUUUUAAUCAAAAUUAUACAUGCAAGCCUCCACACACCAGUGAGAAUGCCCAUUAAUUACCCAAACAGUCAAACGGAGCAGGCAUCAGGAUCAGCCUGCCUAGCCUAGAACGCCUUGCUUACGCCACACCCACACGGGAUUUCAGCAGUAACUAACAUUAAAACAUGAACGAAAGUUCGACUUAGUUAUGAUUAAUCACGGCCGGUUAACUUCGUGCCAGCCACCGCGGUUACACGAAGGGCCAAAAACAAUGACCAUCGGCGUAAAGCGUGACCAGGUCUUAAGUCUUAACAUUAAAGGAGAAAUAGCGCCAAGUUGUAGAACGCAAUCGCAUAGAGAAUAUCACCACCAACAAGCCUUUAAACAAAAGACCAGCUGCUUUCACGAAAGCUAAGAAACAAACUGGGAUUAGAUACCCCACUAUGCUUAGCCCUUAACACAGAUAGUAUGAACACAAUGCUACCCGCCAGAGAACUACGAGCGAAAAGCUUAAAACUCCAAGGACUUGGCGGUUCUCCAUAUCAACCUAGAGGAGCCUGUCCUAUAAUCGAUACUCCACGCUUUACCCAACCCCUCCUUGCAACCCAGCCUAUAUACCGCCGUCGUCAGCCUACCUUAUGAAAGAACAAUAGUAGGCAAAACAGUAAACCACUAACACGUCAGGUCAAGGUGUAGCCAAUGGACGGGAAGAGAUGGGCUACAUUUUCUAUAAAAGAAAACACGAACGGCACCAUGAAACCAUUGCCCAAAGGCGGAUUUAGUAGUAAGACGAGCAAGAAAAAUCGCCUUAAACAUGCUCUGGAGCGCGCACACACCGCCCGUCACCCUCAUCACCACGCAGUAAAACCCUAACAUAUACACAAAAUGAAGCCCAGAUGAGGUAAGUCGUAACAUGGUAAGCGCACUGGAAAGUGCGCUUGGAAUAAC
rnacentral:ncRNA from 1 species